AUGGCUCAUCCAAGACCAACAAACCUGUCCAAAGAAGUUCUGGUCCAGGUCGCUUCGCUUGAGAAAUCACAUGCGAUCUGGACCGCGCUUGGGAACAUGUUCUCGGCCAUGUCUCUCUCACGCGCCAACAACAUACGAGUCGCCCUCACCAACGCC
rnacentral:rRNA from 1 species